rnacentral:tRNA from 1 species
GGGGGCAGCGGGAGCAGGGAGCUGGGGCGCGGGGAGCUGAUCCAUCUAGUUAAUUUUCCCUGUAAGGGUUUCUUGGCCUUUGGGGCAUCGUGGCCGACAGAGAAGAAGGCCACACUUGCCGAGCAUUUGGGAGACAUUACCACGGUCCGUCGUGGCGGUGAAGUGGCCCCCGUGCAGAGUAUCUGUGCCGAAGAAGAGGAUCGAGUUUCCUCUUUCCUGGGAACCCGUUCUCGAGCAGGAUGUUAGUGAUUUAUGGAAUAACUCCCGUCCAAUAAAGAGUGCAGUUAGAAAUGUGGGAGCUGGUUUCUCGUCCAAGUUUGCAAGUUGGGGUAAGGGAGGGGCGGGUGGAACUGGCUGCAUCCGCUGGCUGGCUUCAGACGGUGCUAACUUGGAAGCUUGAGCAGAGGGGAUGGUAGGGCCGAUGAACUGGGGGGAUUGAUAAUGAAACAGGAAGGCUUUCCUCACCAAAUGCCCAGCUGGUGCCUGGAAGCUGGUCGGGAUCCAGAGCCUAGUUCACAGAUUAGAGGACCCUGCAGUGAGUUGGCAGUCUCCGCGGGCGGGGCCGUUGAACAGGGGUUUGGUAAGGCCAGUUUCCUUUUCUGAGGCGGAAGCAUUUUGACCAUGUCAGCGAACCUCAAUGAUCGUCUUUUCUCAUUAAUCUCCCAUCGGAAGAUGAGUCCAGGCUCUGCAGGGCGCUGAAAUCCCUUAUCCCUUAUCCCCAGAAAAGUGCUCCAGUGGCCCAACCAUGCCCCUGCCCGCCAGCCACAGGGUUCAGCUCCACGUUUGAGGUGUGCGUCUGAGCAAACGGCAACAGCCUCUCGUUAGGACUGAGGUUAGGUGAGUUGCCUGCAUGGGGGAAGUUGGGUGAAAGGUACUGGGAUACCUCUACUAGUUUUGUGCAAUUUCUUGCGACUCUAUCAUUAUUUCCAAACAAAAAGCUUACAAGUCUGCAGUGCUUAGAACCACCACAAAAGUCUGUGAUGCUCAGUUACCCCAUCUGGUGAAUGGGGAUAUCAAUGAUUCCUACUUUAUGUAUCACUGCUAGGAAAAUCAGAUAAUGCAGAGGUGGUGCUUCUUGUUUUCACCAGCCCAGUGUCCUCCUGCUCUUUCUUGUGACAGAAACCCAUUUCCUUUCUCUAGAGUGUAAUCACUGCAUUUGAUGUGAUCUCAUUUUUAUGCCCAUAUUGCAGAUGAGGAAGCUGAGGCUUUAAGAGGCAAUGUGACUUGCUCAAGAUCAGAGGGCUGGCAGAACUGGAAUCUUCAGGAGCCUGUCCUACCCUAAUAUCCAUUUUCCCUUGAUGAAAAUUUGGUAACCAGAGAGGCAAAGAUUUGGGGGUUGUAGAAAGAGAGAAUAAAGUUAUUUGGGGGUGGUGAGGAUUUUCCCUGUGUGAGACCUGCCAGUGUUAUCAGCAAUGCCCUGGAUGGAGACCUGCAGCUUCUGCCUCCUCAAUCCAGACACAACAGCCCCUUUGCUCCAUUUGGGGGGCAUCUCCCCACCUCUUGAAUUGCCCCAGCGUCCUUAACCUGGAGCUUCAUCCUGCUUGUCUUCAAAAGGAAAUCAGUCUCAUUAGUACAGAAAUCUCUUCAAGCCUAAUGUGGAAUUUAUCAAAUUAUGGGGUGUGUGUUUGGCCAGUGAGGUGGUUGGUUGUGUCAUCCUCUCCUGAGGGCACUAGCUUUCGCUAACAUUUUAUAUCAUCUUAUUCAAAACUCUUAGCCUGGCCCUAGUGUUUUCCUAGCCAUGGAAAUCAAAGACAUGGGUAUUUCCACCCAAAAUAUUUCCACCUGUGGUUUCACAGUGAGCGGUCAGGUGUACAUUUUAGCCAAGGACAGGGGAAGCUUGCCAGAAUCUUCUCAGGAGCGUCUGGCAAAAGAACAGUUUCCAUCAGGGCGUCUUGUUCAUCCUAAAUCCAGUUCUAGGGAUAUUUCAAACUAGGUACCUCUCCAUCCAGACACCUCAACCCCAGAAGGAAAUCCAUCUCAGCUGUGGGCAGCUGUUGGUGUUUGUGUCUGGAGAUCCAGGAGAUGGAACUGGCACAGGUCCCGUGCUGAGGGCAUGGGGCAGCAAAAGCCAAAAGAAAUGCUUACUAAAUUAAUGACUACACGGAGAGUUGAGCCUAACUUGAGUUGGCAUGCUAGCUUUUAGUUGAGAAGCUGAGUAAAUUAGGGGGUCCCUCCAGCUCCUUGUUCCAGCUCAGUCAAUGGGACCAAGAAACUUCAGGGUGAGAAUGGAAGCUCCCUUUUAAAGGAGUUAACUUCUAAAUGUGGGGAAACCUACCCCACUUCCCCCAACCACUUCUGCGGGGAGCAUUGGGAAUUGUUAUUUUUUAAAAUAUAUCUUCAGAAGAUGUGGUACAUAUAUACAAUGGAAUACUACUCAGGCAUAAAAAAGAACAAAAGAAUGGCCUUUGCAGCUAGAUAGAUGCAACUAGAGAUUAUCAUUACUAAGUGAAGUAAGUCAGAAAGACAUACCAUGUGAUAUCACUUACAUGUGGAAUCUAAAAUAUGACACAAAUGAACCUAUUUACAGAACAGAAACAGACUCACAGACAUGGAGAACAGAUUUGUGGUUGCCAAGGGGAAGGAGAUUGGCUGAGGGAUGGAGUGGGAGGUUGGGGUUAGCAGAUCUAAGCUAUUAUAACUGAAUUGCUUUGCUGUAUAGCAGAAAUGAACAUAUUAUAAAUCAACUAUAUUUUAACUUAAAAAAUGUAUCUUAUGUGUCAUGAUGACCCCAUUUCACCUGUAAUAUAUUCCUAUGUUAUGGACAUGGACACCACAGAAUGUCAAUUAUAAAUUUAGGGGGGAGUUCCCUGGUGGUCUAGUGGUUAGGACUUGGCACUUUCACUGCUGUAGCCCAGGUUCAGUCCCCGGUCUGGGAACUGAGAUCCCACAUCAAGCUGCCACACACCUUGGCCAAAAUCAAAGAAAUAAAUAAUUGGGGGAUAUAUUACUUUCUACUUGGAAUUCAGAAGACUUUUGAUAUACAAUUGAAUAAAGCAAUUGUAUAAAAUCGCAGAAUGAUGGAGAUGAAAGGCAAAAAUCUCAGGGACUAUUUUUCCCAACUCCUCACUUUGCAAGUGAGAAAACUGACAGCCAGGGAGUUGGAGUAACUUGCCCAAAGUCACAUAGAUUCUAACGGUAAGGCUACAGCCAGGUCUUCUGGUCAUAGGGCGUUUGCCUGCUCUCCUCCUACUCCAUGUUAUUUGUAUGGGAUGUAUGAUAUUUCAUUAUCAAGCCAGCUUCUAAUCUUGAAAUGGCAGCCAGCUGGGCUUUCUCUCUACUGUGUAUCAACCCCACCAACAAGCUCAUUGCUGGUCAGAAAGUGUUUAAUAAGUGCUUGUUGAGGGGUUGAAGGAGCUGUGUGAUGCUGUAAUAUAUCUGCAUUAGGUGCUGUGACCAUUGUCUCUGUCAGAAAAGCAUGUAAUCCAAAUGCAUUCCACCCCUUGGGACAGUCAUUGAGGGAGAGAGGCUGGAUAAGGGAUAUUUCUCAAAGUCUGGUCCCCUUUUAAACUGGCAAGGGAGCUUAUUUAAAAUGUAGGUGAUGGGGUUCCUGCUGUGGCACAGUGGGAUUGGCAGCAUCUCUGCGGUGUCAGGACACAGGUUCAAGUCUGUCAUGUUUCAGGUUUGAGCUGGAUCUCGAUGACAUAUUCGUUUAUGCUUUCAGUAUUUGUUAACAUCUCAAAUAUCCAGGAAUAGUAAGAAUUGAAUAAGAAGUGGAGUUCCCAUUGUGGCUCAGUGGUAACGAACCUGACUAGUAUCCAUGAGGAUGCAGGUUUGAUUCCUAACCCCUCCCAGUGGGUUAAGAAUCCAGCGUUGCCACGAGCUGUGGUGGAGGUCGCAGAUGUGGCUCGGAUCCUGCACUGAUAUGGCUAUGGCAUAAGCUGGCAGUUGCAGCUCCUAUUUGACCCUUAGCCUGGGAACUUCCACAUGCUGUGGGAGAAGAAAAAAAAAGAAUUGAGUAAGAAAUGAAUGCCCUAUAAGAAGAAAAUUAUGUAACUUUUCAGAAGGAAAUAUACAAAGACAUGUAAAUUAAUAGACAUUUUCUAGAUGUCUGGAAGAGACAAUUUGAUGGUGCUUCUCUCUAAAAUUAUUUGAUGCAUCCCAAUAAAAAUACAAGUAUGGCUCUUUUCUAACUUGAAAACUUAUUUAAAAAGUCAUCUGAGAGGAGCUCCCACUGUGGCUCGACUUGAUAGGUGGUGUCUGCAGCACCAGGAUGCAGGUUCCAUCCCCAGCCUGGCACAGUGGGUUAAACAAUCUGGAGUUGUCACAGCUGUGGCUCGGAUCCAAUCCCUGGCCCAAGAACUCCAUGUGCAGCGGAGCGACCAAAAAAGAAAAAGUAAAAAAAAAUAAAAUAAAACACAGAUGACAACAAUCUUAUCCCAUCUUGAUGGUCAGCAUUUUACCAGAGGACAGGCUCCCUUUUGAUCCACUGGACCUGCAGACACAUGGAUCCCAAGCUUUUUAAACUCUCUGUUUCCUAAUGCUUUUGUAAACUUUGCUCAGUUCUUUUGAUGCCCAUAGCCAAUAGGACUGCUGGGAGUCAAGAACAUGGAAUUUUUUUUUUCUUUCUUUUUUUUUUUCUUUUUAGGGCCGCACCUUCGGCAUAUGGAGAUUCCCAGAUGAGGAGCCUCAUUGGAGCUGUAGCCGCUGGUCUACACCACAGCCACAGCAACUCAGGAUCUGAGCCGCGUCUGCGACCUACACCACAGCCCACGGCAACGCCGGAUCCUUAACCCACUGAGUGAGGCCUGGGAUCGAACCCGCAAUCUCAUGGUUCCUAGUCGGAUUCGUUUCCACUGCGCCACGACGGGAACUCCUCUCAGAUUGCAAGAGCAUGGAAUUUAAUGUUAGGCCUGAGUUUGAAACUCUGGGUCCCGAUUACUGCCUUUUCUGCUAAAUUACUCUCUGAACCUCUCAGUAGCCACAUCUGUGAGAUGAGGAUAAUAUUAUUAUUUUUCUCUUAUAAUGAUUGUGAGGUGAUAUUGAAUUAUGUGGUGAUAAUGUGUGUACAGUUCCUGUUCCGUUUCUGACAGGCAACAGGGAUUCAAUAAGAUAACAUUGCUUUUCACUCCUGAUGUUGAUACCAUGUCAGACUUAACAGAAAAGAUAUAGGAAUAGUACAAAUCGGAGUUCCCAUUGUGGCUUCAUGGGUUAAGAACCCAACUAGCAUCCAUGAGGAUGUCAGUUCGAUCCCUGGCCUCACUCAGUGGGUUAAGGAUUCGGUGUUGCUGCAACCUACAGUAUAGGUCACAGAUGUGACUGGCUCAGAUCUGGCAUUGCUGUGGCUGUGGCGCAGGCUGGCAGCAGCAGCUCCGUUUCAACCCCUAGCCCAGGAAUUUCCAUAUGCCUCAGGUGCGGUCUUAAAAAAAAAGAAAUAGUACAAAUGACUUCAUUAAGAUUCCCUAAACAUUAGCAUUUUAUUCUAUUUGCUUUCUCCCAGUAGAAGUAGACAGAUGUAGGUAUAUCCAUGUAGAUAAAUACAUAUAUAUAUGUUUAUUUUUCUGAACCACAUAAAUUGCAGAUAUGAUAUCUCCUAACCCCAAAAUUCUUCAGUGUAUAUUUUCUAAGAACAAGAUAACUUACUAUUCUGUUAACCCUUCAACAACAUAGGUUUGAACGAUGUGGAUCCAUUUCUACACAGUCUUUUUUUCAAUAAACAUGUCCUACAGCACUAGAAUAUCCAGGUUUGGUUGGAUCUGUCGCUGCAGAACCCUAGAAAUGGAGUGGUCACUAUGCACUGGAGCGCCUGCAGAUUUUGGUACCAAGGAAGGUCCUGGAACCAAUUCCCAGAGGAUGAGAUUGCUGACUAACCUCUGUUUCAAAAACUUGAAAAUUAAACAAGAGGCCACUCUACUGGGGCUCCCUGGGUCAGUAUGUACUAAUCUCCGCUCAACUGUCCCGUGCUUCUGCGGCCUGAGCUUUGGGGUUUUGUUUUCACAGUUCGUUCUGACUGAUGAGCUCUCCAGAACCUGAUUUCAAAAGCUUUCAAAACCACCCUAUUCUGGAUGGUCUGAAGGAAGAUGUUAAUUACGAAAGAACAUCCGGUUCUUGGCAUUCUGUGUAGAAGAAAUCAAUGAUGUUGAAGACCCUAAAGAGAAUCACUGAUUUUGCGGAGGCUUAAUAAAAAGUCAACAAUC